UUUUUGAAGAUAAUUUAAAGUCUAAUCUGCCCACUGAUAAAAUUAUUAAAGGGCUGCAGUAUUUUGACUGUACAAAGGUAGCAUAAUCAAUAGUCUCUUAAUUGGUGACUUGUAUGAAAGAUUGGAUGAAAUAUAUACUGUCUCUAAUUAAUUUAUAGAAAUUAAUUUUUUAGUAAAAAAGCUAAAAUAAUUUUAAAAGACGAGAAGACCCUAUAGAGUUUAAUAAUUUAUUUAAUUAUAUUUAUUAUAUAAUUUUUAAAAUUAAAAUUAAAUGAAUUAUUUUGUUGGGGUGAUAGAAAAAUUAAAUUAACUUUUUUUAAUUGUUAACAUUAAUUUAUGAUUAAAUGAUCCAUUAAUAAUGAUUAAAAGAAAAAAUUACCUUAGGGAUAACAGCGUAAUUUUUUUUUUUAGUUCAAAUAGGAAAAAAAGUUUGCGACCUCGAUGUUGGAUUAAGAUAAAAUUUAAAUGCAAAAGUUUAAAAUUUUGAUCUGUUCGAUCAUUAAAAUCUUACAUGAUCUGA
rnacentral:rRNA from 1 species